UGACUCUGGACUCGUGAUAUAUGUGCAAAUUUCGAAAUUUAAAUUAAUUAUUAUGCAUCUAGAUCCCUAGUUAGUCUAUGGUUAGCGAUGUUGUCAGAACUAAAAUCUUCCUGUUAGAGCAAAUUUGCACCAAAUGCCCAAACUACCAUUACUCUGCAACUUGUGGAUUGAUCGAAAACUUACCACUCCUCUUUCUGCCGUACAGACAUGUUGGUUUGGUUUAUCGAUUGCCUGCGAUUAUCAGCGAAGCUGCUGAGGGAGGAAGAGGAAGUGCGGAUUCUGGGGAGAGAGGAAGAAGAAAGGCCCGCAUGGUUUUUGGACACACUUGCUGUUAAACCAUCUACUAGUAGAGGAAGAGGAUAGCUUGAGUGUUUGGAGUAAAAUUGCUCUGGCAAGAAAAUUGUAGUUCUGACGGCAUCGCUGGCCCUUCUUUGUACUUUGUCAGUGUUGAAAAAAUUGUAAAAUAUGUCAAAUUCUUUAUGAUGCAAAAAUUAACAGAGCAAAAGCUCUGUAUUGAU